ACUGCAUCAGCCAUGCCGCGUGUGUGUAGAAGCCUUAUGGUUGUAAAGCACUUUAAGCGAGGAGGAGGCUACUUUAGUUAAUACCUAGAGAUAGUGGACGUUACUCGCAGAAUAAGCACCGGCUAUAUCUGUGCCAGCAGCCGCGGUAAU
rnacentral:rRNA from 1 species